rnacentral:rRNA from 1 species
GACGAACGCUGGCGGCGUGCUUAACACAUGCAAGUCGAACGGAAAGGCCCUGCUUUUGUGGGGUGCUCGAGUGGCGAACGGGUGAGUAACACGUGAGUAACCUGCCCUUGACUUUGGGAUAACUUCAGGAAACUGGGGCUAAUACCGGAUAGGAGCUCCUGCUGCAUGGUGGGGGUUGGAAAGUUUCGGCGGUUGGGGAUGGACUCGCGGCUUAUCAGCUUGUUGGUGGGGUAGUGGCUUACCAAGGCUUUGACGGGUAGCCGGCCUGAGAGGGUGACCGGCCACAUUGGGACUGAGAUACGGCCAAGACUCCUACGGGAGGCAGAAGUGGGGAAUAUUGCAAAAUGGGCGGAAGCCUGAUGCAGCAACGCCGCGUGCGGGAUGACGGCCUUCGGGUUGUAAACCGCUUUCGCCUGUGACGAAGCGUGAGUGACGGUAAUGGGUAAAGAAGCACCGGCUAACUACGUG